GACAGAGGGUGCAAACGUUGUUCGGAUUUACUGGGCGUAAAGCGUGUGUAGGCGGCUUGGCAAGUUGGAUGUGAAAGCCCACGGCUCAACCGUGGAAGCGCAUCCAAAACUGCUUCGCUCGAGUCUCGGAGAGGAAGGUGGAAUGCUUGGUGUAGAGGUGAAAUUCGUAGAUAUCAAGCGGAACACCGGUGGCGAAGGCGGCCUUCUGGACGAUGACUGACGCUGAGACGCGAAAGCGUGGGGAGCAAACAGG
rnacentral:rRNA from 1 species